ACUGUAAUACCUUUUUUAUUAAUUUAUAGUUUUAUUGUCAUUACAGGAAAAAUAUCUAGCUGAAGUCAACUCAACAUAAGUUACAUUAGUUAACUUAACAGAUCAUAUAACUCCAAGGAAAUUUGGCCAUGAAGUAUAACAAAAUGUAUUGCAGAUUUUGUUUUUCUGGAUAUUUCCAGUACUAAUAUUUCCUAAAUUAUAAAUCUACAAUAUUAAGCUUAAGUUAGGAAAGUAGUAAGUACAAUCUAAAGUAAGUAGUAGAUAUAGCUCCAGGUAAAUAGCGUAAGUACACUUUUAUUUCAAUUAUGAUUAAUAUUAUAAAUACUAUGUUUAUAUUUUAAUAAAUAUUAUUUUACUAAAAA